ACCUUAAACGAUAAUAAGUAAUUUAAAAAUUAAAAUGAAAAAGACAAAAAUAAAUUAUCAAUAUUGCCUUUAAACUCAAGGAGAAAAAGAAAAUUAUGUUUUCUUGUCAUAUUUUGUUUCUAUAGCUUUUCUUAUUGAUGACCAGAAUUUUGCUGUUUCAACUUUGAAAGUUGAGGAAAAUUGGCCUAGCCUUCUACCUUUCUCCACUACGAUACCUAACUUGACAGUUUUGCUUACGUGGCAUGACCUACUACACACGUGUUGUACUCCCUCCAUUUCUGAACCAAAGCCUUGGGCUAGGCGGCCCUUUUUUCUUAACCUUACUACAAUAACAACUAUCCACGCUCCCAACUAGUUGAGUUGGGCAUUAUGUAUCUCAGUAUCCAGGUAGACCCAUUUCAUUUCUAAGUCUUUUUUGCAUGUAUUAAUUGAUGAACACCUAAUCAUAUUGGGUGUCACCAUAUUUAUUAAACAAUUAUCAGCAACACAUCCAUGGUUAAAUUUUUAUUUAUUUUGUUAUACAAUAAGAAGUACAUAUGCGGGUCUUUAUUAAAAAAGGAUACCUAUGUGGGUUCAGUUGCAGGACCCAGAUGUUAGAGCCCAGAGCCUAUCGGGUACCAAUUAUAGCAAGUCCUAUCAGGAUCAAUAACGAUAUCCUAUUGGGUCCAUAAGCAUUUGGAUCAGCUCAGGAAUCCUUUUGGAUUUAGAGUCAUAUGGUAUUUGGUUAAACCUGCCCCACUUGGGAAAACGGCUAUUACUAUCCUUGUACUAUUAUAAAUAUUACACGUUUGUACUCCGUUUCACUUUACGUCCAAAACCUACCCUACCAUUAACAAAUUUGAUGGAAUUGCCCCUAACCCUAAUGGAUGGCGAAUGUGGCAGCUGACACACUCCAUGUCAGCUGCCAAGUCACUUAUUUACUCAAUUUAAAAAAAAUUAAAACAUAUCCCCCAACUAGUCCAUCUCAAAAAGAAUGACCUCNNNNNNNNNNNNNNNNNNNNNNNNNNNNNNNNNNNNNNNNNNNNNNNNNNNNNNNNNNNNNNNNNNNNNNNNNNNNNNNNNNNNNNNNNNNNNNNNNNNNNNNNNNNNNNNNNNNNNNNNNNNNNNNNNNNNNNNNNNNNNNNNNGAGAUAUGGUAUUUGGUUAAACCUGCCCCACUUGGGAAAACGGCUAUUACUAUCCUUGUACUAUUAUAAAUAUUACACGUUUGUACUCCGUUUCACUUUACGUCCAAAACCUACCCUACCAUUAACAAAUUUGAUGGAAUUGCCCCUAACCCUAAUGGAUGGCGAAUGUGGCAGCUGACACACUCCAUGUCAGCUGCCAAGUCACUUAUUUACUCAAUUUAAAAAAAAUUAAAACAUAUCCCCCAACCCCACCCCCCCGGACUCCCUACUUCUUCUUCUUCCAAGAGUUCUUAAUCUUUACUUCAAAAUUUUCAAUUCAAACUAGGCCACCCGUUAAUAGUGAACCAGAUUUAACCCCUUAAUUGGUGUUCUUCAUCCACUAACGAUUUCCAGUCAUCUUCUUCUCCAAAGCUCAGUCACAUUUUACUAUAUGAGUGAGGCCCGAUGAGUAUGGGGAACACAUUACCAGUAGCCUUGUUGCCCAGAAGUCGCCGGAAUCUCCUUUUUCGAAUUGCCAGUUAAUCGCAGAUAGGUUUUCCAAUAUAUUUCUCACAACUAGAUGAUCAAAAUGGCAUUGGUUUUCCUAGGGUGGUUGUUGAGAGGAUAAGAAACAAGAUGAAAUACUAGGUUUUUUACUUAGCAUGACAGUAAUGGCCAUAUCUUCAGGUUGGAAGCUCGAUGGUAAAAGGAAAUUAAAGAGUCAAAAGGGUUUCAAGGACAAAGUGCAGAAAGCUUUUGUUGGGUUGGUUAUUACAAGGUGGAACUUGAGUUGUAGGGAUCAGAUUGUUUUACGAAUGGCUGAAUCUGCCAUUUUUGUCAAUGAGCAUUAAUUUGCCGGCGAGAGGAUUUUGAGUUUUGAGGUCCUUUUCAUUGUCCAACAUAGUUGAAUUUUUUCAGAGAUAUAUCCAAUAAUUGUUAGCUGUUGCUUUGACAGUCGAAAAAUUUCCUUCGGACUCUACAGAUCUGGGACUUAACCGGAGUUCAUUCCGGUCAACUCUUUUUUUUUUCCUUUAAAUUUUGUCUUAUUUUAUUUAAGGGAUUAAAUUGGAUUCACUACUAACGGGUCAGUGACUGGAACAUGUCUUUUAAAAUUGGUUGCUGCUUUUGUCGUAACUCAAGGAGAAAGAAAGAGAAGGGGAAUAGUUGAGUGGAGACUAGACCGACUUGGCAGCUGACAUGGAAAAAAUGGAGAGGGUCAGCUGCCACAUUGGCCAUCCGUUAGGGUUAGGGGCAAUUCCAUCAAGUUUGUUAACGGUGGGGUGGUUUUUGGACGUAAAGUGAAACUGAGGACAAAUGUGUACUAUUUACAAUAGUACAAGGCUAAUAAUAGCCUUUUCCCCGCCCCACUUUCAUCCCUACCAUUGAAUAAUUGAAAUUGUAGAUUUCAACCAUGCAGAGUCUUAAGGUUUUCUUUGCUUGUGAUUGAAUAAUUUGCAGAAUGAGCUCAAGUAUGAAGAAUUAGUAUCUGCUAUAUGACAAGAUAUUCUUUCAAUAUUUUUAUCAGGGUUAGUUGGUAUUUUGCUUGCUCGUGUUGCAAAAACCGUCUUCAUAACAGGUAUACAAGAUUGAAAUGCAUAAGUUCUAACCUUUUCACCUGCUUAGUAUUACCAAUGCUUUGUUUGACAUAUAUUAAAGUCUUGCAUUAGUCACCAUCAACAAUGUUAUGCUUUUGCCUUCCUUGUCUCUGCAGCGGUUGCUGUGAUUAUGUCUAAUUGUCUAUCAUUAAGUUAAAACCCAAGUUUUGCAUGCUUUUGUCACGUCUAUUUGCUUAAGCCUAACUUGUAUACGACCGACCAUGGUGAUGAAGUACUAG
rnacentral:lncRNA from 1 species